AUUUGCACUAGCUACUAAUAGCUGCUCGCAUACAAUUCAUGGCAUUGAUGUUUGCCUACAAAACUACCACUGGCUCUGUACCCAUUAACCUUUUCGCACGUAAGUUCUAAAAUAGUCAGACCAGCAGUCUGGCGUGAGUUUUUUUCUGCGACCGUUAUUUUGCAAUCAGUCGCGUUCUAAUUUCCAUGGAGACGCAUGAACCUUGUCAUGUGACAUUUCAGUCAAAAUGGCGCGCACACGAUGGAUAACCGUCUGCAGGUGAGUAGCUUGAAUAUUUCGCUUUAUUUAUUUAUUUUUUAUUCAAAACCUCUCAAAUAAUUUGUUAGCGUGUACCGACUAUGGUUGAAAUGGUUCUGUUUGCUGCCCCCACCCCUUCCCCUCCACUGCUGUGAACUUCGCUUGCACAUGGUACUUUGCAUCUCCCCCAGAACAGCCGCGUGACAAUCAGUGCAUCUCCCCCAGAAACGCCGCGUGACAAUCGGCUUAAUAAUGCUUCAGUGUGUGGUACUCCUCAAAACACGGGACAGCACACAAGGGAGUGUUGCAUGGCACACACAUGUGCUUGGUGAGGCGCCUCUGCUUGCCCUUGCGUGUGCUGGAGAGGCAGACCUUGCAGUGCCGCCUGGUCUUGCUGCCCUGGGAAGUGGUCUGAGGGACUUCAGAUGGGAAAUGCCUGGCUGUAAGGCGCAGAGGAGUGUCCAAGGCAGGACGCCCGCCUUUGGUUGGACCUCGCAAUGUGCUGUACUCCUCCAGCAGCCCUCUCAUCAGCACACAGGCUGGCUUCAUCAUUGGUUGCCCAGUGAGGUGAUCCAGCUUGCCUGUGGCUGCCAUACCAGUUGGAUGGACUGUGGUGAACUUUGGCAUCCCUUUUCUGUGUCCGCGAACGGUCCCACAAGCUCCAGUGCCAAGUGACAAGAGGUGCUGGAAAAGUAUGGGACUACUGUACCAGUUGUCAACAUAUAGAACAUGACAUUUGCUUAAGUAAGGUGCUAAGAGUGUCAUCACAACGGACCCAGAAAUCCCAAGUCCUGGGUAAUGUUGGAUGUCAGUGGAGGAUCCGGUGUAAAUGAUCAUGUCCUCCACAUAACCAGUUAGCACAUCACACAAAACAAAAAACUUGAUCCCAAAUCUGUGCCGUUUAGAUGGAAUGAACUGACGAAAUGCCAGCCUGCCUUUCCACUUCAUCAGAGACUCAUCCACACACAGAUCCCUGUAUGGCACAAAAAUGCGACGAAAAGAGGAGGUGAGCGCAGUGAAUAUGUGUCUGAUUUUUUUCAGCGGGUCAUUGGAAACUGCUGUCGCAUUGUUUGCAAAGUGAAGACAGCGGAGGAGCAGAAGGAAGCGAUCCUGUGAGAACAAAGACCCAAAAAAUGGGGUCAAGAGCAUGGGGUCUGUGCUCCAGUAAUCACGAAGUGAUGGUUUUUUGAUCACACCCAUUAAGAGAACUGACACUAAAAAUGUGUACAUUUCAGGGAUAUUUGUUGGAACCCAUUUAACCAGCUUCCCUUUCAUUUCCUUCUCUUGCAAGUCAGAGGCAUAGCGGUUUGUUUCCUCCACAAUUUCUCCCAUGACAUCUUCCGUUAGAAACAAUUUAAAACAAUUUACCUCACUGGGUGAUUCUGGGGGAUUUUGCACACCACAGUGCUGGUUGUUAAAAUUGCCUGGGCCAGGAGGAUAAAAAAGGUUGGUUGCCUUCCACAACAAUGAGUUUAAUGUUACCUCUUCUGCCUCAUUAGGAACUGGUGUCAUCUCUUCGUCUUCAAAGUUGUCCAGAGCUUCAAGAUUUGGGGGAAGAUCCUCAUCACUGUCACUCUCUGCCUCGCUGUCAAAAAUCUCCUCAUCAGAAUUAAAAAAAAUGUCCUCAAUUUCCUCAUUUGUCAGUUUUCUUCUUUUGAAUGUAUUAUCUGUCAUUUUCUCUUAUGUUGGUGAGCUGGAUUAAAGUUGUCUCUUUAAAUUACAACAAAGGCGAUUGUGAGGUAACGGUGACGUCAGCUUUACAUCAGUUGUCAGCGGGAAAAAAAAGACUCGCAAUCCAUGACAGUUAAAAUAUUUUUAUUUUUUUAUACAAAAUAUUUACAAACUUGUAGUUAUUAACAUCGUUAAAUAUAUGUAAGUUAACUCCUAAUGUGGUAUUAAUUUAAGAAAAAAAAACAUGUUUGUUGAUCGGUAAGUUAUCACAUGACGGGCUAUGGGCGCCGCCAUUAUUUGUUUACAACACUGAUGGAGAGUUGGACUUAGAGCCUGCUGGAUUUACAACAUGCAAGAUCAUCCAUGUUUCCCGAAAUAUAUGACUGUAACCCCCGCUUCACUGCAUCUCACGCGACGCUCCUGCUUGACGCUCACACGCUGCUUCUGGAGUGAAUGCACUCAUUGAUUAACAUGCACGCACGUCUGAAAAAAUACCCGCUGUUCACGCGUCGCUGACACUUGCGUUGUGAAACAGCUGUUAUCUACAAGGAUUGACACAAGCCUCAGUCUGGGUCCAGAACACCUGAGAAGAGAUGAUGCCAACCCCUCAGAGGACCUCAGAUGAUGCCAACCCUGAAACAACAUACAGAACAAAAAAAAAUUGCUAUAAGUUUGACUGCAUCAUAUAAUAAUUUAUGUUAAUAGUGUUCACCGCCUGAUUAUGUUUCAAAAUUAAAAGAUAAAAAAUCAUGAGAUGAUAUUCUGCCCAGAAUAUUGCCAUUACGUCCCCUUGGAAUUAUAAGGUUCUAUCUGCGUUCUGAGUAGUUUUGAUAGAUA